GGUCCCAUGGUCUAGUGGUUAGGACAUUGUACUGUAUCCAGUUACCCGAGUUCAAAUCUGGGUGGGACCU
rnacentral:tRNA from 1 species